AUAUUCUCAAGAGUUCCUUCGAACACUUCAUUGAAAUAAGGUUUCCAUUCGGUAAUAUUUUUUACUGAAGUGUUUGGAGGAACUCAAGAUGAUAU